UGUGAUCUACGAUUUCCAAAAGUUUAUAGUUGCCAGUUAGAUACGCAUGUUUUUUUCUAAGGAAAUCAUCAGAAAGGACAUUCCACUCUUAUUACAAAGCUAAUUUGGGGGUAAAUAUUUUGAUAGAUGUGGCUUGGUGCACCUGGGGGCUGAGAGAGCCAUGGCCGAGCCGAGGCAGUUCAUGCAGAUGCCGCACUGAGACAGACCAAGGGUUGUUUUUUUCUCCCCAUGUAUAUCGCAAAUGGUGGAUUGUGGUGGCGUGACUAUUAACAUUUUCUUUGCCACUGUCAGCAAAGCAGCUUCCUAAUGAAAAAUGGUCUUGUUAUUUAAAAUGAUAAUGACCAUACUAAGACUUCUGUCAAGUGAAUUUACAACAGCGUAGAUGACAAAUACAAACAUUUUAGGUAAGAGACCUACAAUCAUUAGAAUCAAGGUGCUGGACUGGAAUAAUAAGAACUGCUAAAUUUAGACCAGUAAACC
rnacentral:lncRNA from 1 species